GCGGUCCUGAAGGGAAAGGAGAAAAGGCUGUUUACUGAAGAAUUCCACUGCAGGAACCCACACAGGCCAGCGCACAUAACAUGAGCCCAAAGGCAUCAGCUUGGUCUAGUGAGAGAAGCUCCAAAUUGACAGAAAGGAGACCUGGGUCUUGUCUAAUUUCUGUUAUGACCUCGAAGGGUGACCUUGGACAAGUGUCUGUCCCUUUGGAGGCUUCCGUCCCCUUUAUGUGUGUGGUGGGUUAUGUCCUGACUUCCCCAAAGAUGUGCAUACCCUAAUCCCUUAACGUGGGUGGAUGUCACCUUAGAGGGCCAAAAGGACUUUGCAGAUGGGAUUAAGUUAAGAAUCUCAAGAUGGGGAGAUGACUUUGGAUCAGCAGGUGGGCCUUAAAUGCAGUCGCCAAUGUCCUGGUAAGAGGAGCUCUGAGAAGGGAGAAGCACUGUGACCACAAAACUGGAGAUUAGUGAUGCGGCCAUAAGCCAGGGAAGGCGACGCCACCAGAAGCUGCAAGAGGCAGAGAAGGAUCGCACUUAGAGCCUGGGAGGGAGCAUGGCCUGGCCAACAGUUUGACAUUGGCUCAGUGACACUGGCCUCAGACUUCUGGCCUCCAAAAACUGUAACUGUAAGCCACCAAGUUUGUGGCAGUUUGCUGAGGCAGUCCUAGGAAACUGAUACGAAGCAACAUGGACGAAUGGGACAGAGGGCCCCUCCUGUGGGGGUGACAUCUCCCUCUGGAGGAUGCUUCCUCUGGGAUCGCCACCCUGGCCUGCUUCCCAUGGAUUCUGCCUUCAAGAAUGGCCAAACCACAGUCACACCUCAUUGGGGGUGGUGCCUUCUUAUCCGCAUACCAUGAUAAUGUGAGAACAAGACGGACCGAAACUCACUUUCGAACAGUUUCUUGACUACUACUUUCUGAGCCCGUAGAGUGUGGGGUGCUGUGCUAGGCAGGAGGCAAAGGGUUAUAAGCCAUCACUGUCCUGGAGGGGCUUAUGAUCCAGGGGCAGAGAUGGAAAACGGAUAGAAUGAUGAAAAAACAGGAGCGGAGUGCCUUAAAGACACGGGGUGCUGAAAGGAUUAGGAGAAAGGGGGAGCUCUCUGAACUGGGGGUAGGGGGGUAUGGAGAAUUCUAGAAGGAGCUAGGCCCUGAGAGGAGGAGGAGGUAGGGGGAGGAGCGAACAUGAAGACAGAGUGAGAGUGUUUGGGGACUGGUGAACCACCCAGGUCAGCUAGGGUGGGAGGUUCGUGGAGCGAAGGGGCAGCAGCAAGGUUUGAGAGGCCAGAAGAUCACAGUACAUUCUUAACCCCUAGAAACAAUCUCAGUGAAGCUCCCCAGAGGGUGUCGGCAUACUGUUUUCAAUCAAAAUGAGUAGGAUCAUUUCCAUUACGACUCAAUAAAAAACCACAAUGAUACU